GGGUGAGUAACACGUGGAUAACCUACCUAUAAGACUGGGAUAACUUCGGGAAACCCGGAGCUAAUACCGGAUAAUAUUUUGAACCGCAUGGUUCAAAAGUGAAAGACGGUCUUGCUGUCACUUAUAGAUGGAUCCGCGCUGCAUUAGCUAGUUGGUAAGGUAACGGCUUACCAAGGCAACGAUGCAUAGCCGACCUGAGAGGGUGAUCGGCCACACUGGAACUGAGACACGGUCCAG
rnacentral:rRNA from 1 species